GGAUUAGGUUGUUGCCUUGUCUCCGCGGCGGUAUAUUGAUUUGUUCUUUAAUCAAAAAAUGGGUUGGAGGGGAGAUAAUUCUAGUCCUAAUGAGGUGUGCUUCUUGGGUUUUGUUUUUGGUUUUUCUAGAUAUUCUUUUCUGGCUUUCUUAUGGAUUAAUGUGACUCUGACUAGCUUGGACGAUGAUGAAUGUGUUUCAUACUGUAAAUUUAC
rnacentral:misc_RNA from 1 species